CAGAGAUUGUGGAGCACACAGGGUCUUCAUCCGGACAUUGUUGUUUGACUCGCUCUCUUGAACUGUCUGGGACUCUACUGCACUGUACUGUACUCUCCUUGUACUGUACUGUACUCUACACUGUACUCUUCUCUGGUUUACUGUGUGCGAUGAACCGAGAUCUCUCCGGUGAGGAACACGAGGUGAACCCUCUGGGAUCCACGAGAAUCUCCGAUGGAAUGAACGGGGUGGGUCCGGGAGGAUCUCCCAUGGAUACGGAGUUUGGACCCGAUUUUAUUGUGGCUGUGAAGGUGGAAUCAGAUUUUCUUGACCAGUCCUCUUCACUCGACAAAGAUUUGAUUGUGAAAGUGAAGGUGGAAUCUGAGUUUGAGAAUGAUUCAACGUCUCAACAGAAAGAUGAAGUUCAAGUUGUGAAGUCAGAAACUUUCCAAAACAAUCUUCUUCACACUUCCCAGGAUGCUUUGAGCAAUGAUCAUGUAAAGCGGGAAGCAUGUGAUUCUCCACCCACGGAGCGAAGCAAAGCUGCUCAGCUGCUCGUUCUGCCUCCUGAAACCCCUCUCUGCAUCAACCUGGACAUUGGAGGACCCAUAACUAUUUGAACCCAUGUCACCAACGAUGUAAAUUCCUUGUGGCCAAGCAGAAGUCUGUACAACUCUGACAUGAACAGUAUGUUUCUCCUUAAACUCUUCACUAGUAACAUGUUUUAACUGAGGACAUUCAUGCUGUGCGACUGUUUGUGAAACCUGGAAACUCGGAGUAGUCAUCACUCUUGUAUUUGGUUUGUCCGACACCAAAACGAUGAUAAUUUACAUUCUCAGGGUCAACAUGUGUGGGUUUAACACUGGGUUGAAGAUGGUUGAAAAUUCUUUGAACACUUUUUUACCUGCCGCAUGUUGCAAGUCUGCGAGUGCAGUUGUUGGUGGUGUUGUUCUUGUUGGGAGUCAAUUUUUGAAAUCUUGUACCCAUUGGUUGGAUAUCUGCCAGACCACACCCACAUCUGUCACUUGACUCCACCCACCAUAGCACUCAUACAAAAUGAUAUGGCCAACAUCUUGGUUUUCCGGUGGGUCUAACACAUUCGGCCUGUAGGCAUCUGCUGAUUAUUCACUCCAUGGUUUUGUUGCGUCAAAUUUCCAGUGGCUUUGUUAUUAUUCCUUUUUGAAAAACCUGCUUUUCAUGUUUUUGACGAUGUUUAUAAAUGUUUUUAUCGUAGUUUUUCACCUCGUUUCCGAUUUUCUGUGCCUCCUUGAUAAGGUGCCACUCUAUCUCAGAGGUUGGUGAUUCCACAAUGUUUGGUUGUAUUUUCUCCAACUUGGUAAAGUGAGGUUAAAGCGAGUGGAGUAACCUCUUUCACUCAAUCUGUUUGUUUAUUAUUCCACAGUUCAGACAUUCUUAUUGAAAUAUCUGUGACAUGGUAGAAAUCUGUGACAUCACAUGUGCCCCGAAGGAUGUCACACGGAUGAAUUUGUAACUCCUUGUGAAUUUAAGUAAUCCUGAU
rnacentral:lncRNA from 1 species